rnacentral:rRNA from 1 species
CGUGUAGGCGGUUCGUUAAGUCGGGUGUGAAAGCCCGGGGCUCAGCUCCGGAAGUGCGUCCGAAACUGGCGAGCUGGAGCGCGGUAGAGGAGGGUGGAAUUCCUGGUGUAGCGGUGAAAUGCGUAGAUAUCAGGAGGAACACCGGCGGCGAAGGCGGCCCUCUGGACCGUUGCUGACGCUGAGACGCGAAAGCGUGGGGAGCAAACAGGAUUAGAUACCCUGGUAGUCCACGCUGUAAACUAUGGGUACUAGGUGUUCGGGGUGUUGACCCCCUGAGUGCCGACGCUAACGCAUUAAGUACCCCGCCUGGGGACUACGGCCGCAAGGUUAAA